CCUACGGGAGGCAGCAGUGGGGAAUAUUGGGCAAUGGGCGCAAGCCUGACCCAGCAACGCCGCGUGAAGGAAGAAGGCUUUCGGGUUGUUAACUUCUUUUCUUAGGGACGAAGCAAGUGACGGUACCUGAGGAAUAAGCAACGGCUAACUACGUGCCACCAGCCGCGGUAAUACGUCGGUGGCAAGCGUUAUCCGGAUUUACUGGGUGUAAAGGGCGAGUAGGCGGGGGCGCAAGUCAGAGGUGAAAACCACGGGCUCAACCUGUGGACUGCAUUUGAUACUGUGUUUCUUGAGUACUGGGGAGGCAGACGGAAUUCCUGGUGUAGCGGUGAAAUGCGUAGAUAUUAGGAGGAACACCAGUGGCGAAGGCAGUCUGCUGGACAGCAACUGACGCUGAGGCGCGAAAGCGUGGGGAGCAAACAGGAUUAGAUACCCCGGUAGUC
rnacentral:rRNA from 1 species